GACAGGGUCUCUGAAGAUGCUAAAAAGGUCUGCUUUGGCUAAGAAGACACUGGAGGAUUUGAACAUUGGCUUCAAAGGUGGAUAUCUCCAUGACUAAGAAGGUGGAAGAUGAUUGCAGACAUGGAAUGCAUUUCAAGAAAGAAACCGUGCACCAGAUGCAAGAGUAUACCAUGAAGUUGCAUGAAAAUGCUUUUUAUUUAAC